AUGAUAUCGGGGGCAACACGUGUACGUGUGAGAACGGCUGGGAAGGGAUCAACUGUGAUCAGGACAUCGACGAGUGCGCGAGCAACCCUUGUUGGCUGGGAGGGACCUGCCUGGAUCACGUGAACGGCUACAGCUGUGUCUGUCCUAAAGAUGCCACUGGCAAGAACUGUGAAACUGCGACUUUUUCCGGAGAGUGUUACCAGUUCUCGUCCAUCGCUGCCUCCUAUCGCGAUGCGGCCCUGACCUGCCGUACUACAGACGGCCGCCUGGUGGAUGUGAAAGACGAGAAGCUGCAAAGUUUCCUCGCAGAGAAAAUCGCUGCCAGCAGCGGCGUUUCCAACUGGCUCGCGAUACGAACCGCUCCAUUGCCGCUUGUGUACAGCGAUGGAUCUCCUCUUUCAGGUGUCCUGAUGCACAAAAAGUGGAAUUUGCCAAUAGUGAUGUAUAUACCGGGUAAAUCCGGUAAUGGUUGCUUUCGGCGAUACAUGGCACCAGAAUAUAUGUGGAUGUAUUUGUAGAUAUUGGUAAUUUGCACUUGUACGUGGAUUCGGCCAUCCAUAUCUAACUACAUGUGUUCCUCAAGCUUUUAUGAAAUCAUAUCCAAGGUACGUCUGGAAAUGGCAAAAAA